UAGGGAAUAUUGGACAAUGGGCGCAAGCCUGAUCCAGCCAUCCCGCGUGAAGGAUGAAGGUCCUCUGGAUUGUAAACUUCUUUUCUUCGGGAAUAAAAACUGGGGUUCUCCUCAGCUUGAAGGUACCGAAGGAAUAAGCACCGGCUAACUCCGUGCCAGCAGCCGCGGUAAUACGGAGGGUGCAAGCGUUAUCCGGAUUCACUGGGUUUAAAGGGUGCGUAGGUGGCUUUGUAAGUCAGUGGUGAAAGCUCGGAGCUCAACUCCGAAACUGCCAUUGAUACUGCUUAGCUUGAAUCAGGUCGAGGUGGAUGGAAUGUGACAUGUAGCGGUGAAAUGCUUAGAUAUGUUACAGAACACCGAUUGCGAAGGCAGUUCACCAGCCCUGUAUUGACACUGAGGCACGAAAGCGUGGGGAUCAAACA
rnacentral:rRNA from 1 species